UGCCUUUGUUCCUUCCUGCGCAAAUAGCUUUUGACGGAGUUCGCAGAAGGCUGCUCGUCGCUGAUUCCUUUUGGGAGAUGGGAGACGUGUUGAUUCCAAGCCUGCAGUGUGGGAACUUGUCUGUGACAAUAUGCGUCUGUGUUUCUCGGUUUUGGGACUUUUCUGAUCCUCAGGAUGAUGCAAGGCUGCUACGCUGUGAUAUGGUGUUGCUCGACGAAGAGGGAAAUAGCAUACAUGCUACGAUAUACCCACCCUUCAUAGAGAAAUUCAGGCCACUCAUAAAAGAAGGCAGCGUAUACAACAUGACAUACUUUCGAGUUCGAGCAUCGAACAACUUGUAAAAGCUAGUUCCAAAUGAUAUCAUUAUUACCUUCACGAAUUGGACAAAGUUAGAGCAGGUUAUUGAUAUUCCUCCUGCAUUUCCUACACUUACCUACUCCCUCACUCACAUAGAGCAGAUCCAUGCGCGCAUCGACCAUAAAGACUACUAUACAGAUGCCAUUGGGAUAGUUACUUCAGUCUCGAAUGUUUUGCCACAUCGCUCCAAAGGACAACAAGCUUCCAGCUUGAAGAGGAACAUUUCCAUAUGCAGUGCAAGAGGUGCUUCAGUCAAUGUCGUGUUGUGGGGUGCCCAAGCCACCCUAUUCCCAGGAGAGCGCAUAUACGAAGAUGGGCAGAAUUCCCCAUAGAUUGUGCUAUUUGUUGGCACACUCGUCAAAAAAUAUGCAGAUGGGCUUUGUCUGACUGGAAGCUCACCAUGUAAGUGGUACAUCAAUCCAUCCAUUCCUGAGGUAGAAACCCUUAUGUCCAGCGCACGCGGUGAUCAUAAACCAGUGAAGUGGAAUGCAACUGUUACUUCGAGCCAGCUUAUAUCUCCUGUUGCUGAGGAGCAAAAGGUGUCGUACAUCAAGUAUCUCCAUCCCUUUGAAA